GUGUCAGCCGCCGCGGUAACACGUAGGGUGCGAGCGUUGUCCGGAAUUAUUGGGCGUAAAGAGCUCGUAGGCGGUGUGUCGCGUCGGCCGUGAAAACUUGGGGCUUAACUCUGAGCUUGCGGUCGAUACGGGCAUCACUUGAGUUCGGCAGGGGAGACUGGAAUUCCUGGUGUAGCGGUGAAAUGCGCAGAUAUCAGGAGGAACACCGGUGGCGAAGGCGGGUCUCUGGGCCGAUACUGACGCUGAGGAGCGAAAGCGUGGGGAGCGAACAGGAUUAGAUACCCCCGUAGUCC
rnacentral:rRNA from 1 species